rnacentral:rRNA from 1 species
UACGUAGGGGGCAAGCGUUGUCCGGAUUUAUUGGGCGUAAAGAGCUCGUAGGUGGUUCGGUAAGUCGGAUGUGAAAUCUCCAGGCUCAACCUGGAGGGGUCAUUCGAUACUGCCGUGACUAGAGUUCGGUAGGGGAGUGUGGAAUUCCUGGUGUAGCGGUGAAAUGCGCAGAUAUCAGGAGGAACACCGGUGGCGAAGGCGGUUCUCUGGGCCUUACCUGACGCUGAGGAGCGAAAGCGUGGGGAGCGAACAGG